rnacentral:lncRNA from 1 species
ACUCUUCCUACUGCAGCUGGGCAGGGGUAAGCUGCAACAAUGGCCGAGUGACCAAGCUCUCCUUUCCAAAUUUCAACAUAACCAAUCCGAUCCCAGCUUCCAUUUGUAGCCUCAAGAACCUGUCCUACCUAGACCUUUCCUACAACAACCUCACCGACCACUUCCCGAUAGUGAUCUAUGGCUGCUCGGCUCUGAGCUACCUCGAUCUGUCCAACAAUCUCUUCUCCGGUGCCCUCCCGGCCGACAUCGAUAAAUUGUCGUCGGAGAUGGAGCACCUCAACUUGUCGUCCAAUGGCUUCACAGGAAGCGUGCCAUCAGCAAUUGCUGUCUUCCCCAAGCUCAAGUCCCUUGUUCUUGACACUAAUAGCUUCAACGGGACAUACCCGGCCUCGGCCAUUGCAAAGCUCAACGAGCUCGAGACGCUAACUCUAGCAGAUAAUCCUUUCGCGCCAGGCCUGAUCCCUGACGAGUUCAGCAAGCUUACCAAUCUGAAGAUGCUGUGGCUGUCAGGGAUGAACCUUACCGGUGGCAUCCCCGACAAACUCUCGUCGCUCACUGAGCUGACCACGUUGGCUCUGUAUAGCAACAAGCUUCACGGUGAAAUCCCGGCGUGGGUUUGGAAGCUUCCGAAGCUUGAGCGCCUGUACCUUUACGCGAACAGCUUCACCGGUGGGAUUGGGCCCGAGGUCACGUUCUUCAACUUGCAGGAGCUCGACCUGUCGGCGAACUUGUUCACCGGAACGAUACCGGAGGCGAUCGGCAAGAUGAAGAACUUGACAACGCUAAAUUUAUACUACAACAAGCUCACCGGGUCGAUUCCUCCGAGCAUCGGGCUGCUCCCCAACCUCCUUGACAUCCGGCUAUUCAAUAACAAGCUCUCCGGACUCCUCCCGCCGGAGCUCGGGAAGCACUCGCCACUCGGCAACCUGGAAGUGAGCAACAACUUGCUCUCCGGCAAGCUCCCAGACACCCUCUGCUACAACAAGAAUCUGUACGACCUCGUGGUGUUCAACAACAACUUCUCCGGCGUGUUGCCGGCGAACAUUGGGGAUUGCCAAACACUGGACAACAUCAUGGCGUACAGCAACAACUUCACCGGGGAGUUCCCAGAGAAGGUAUGGUGGGCGUUCCCUAAGCUGACCACUGUCAUGAUACAGAACAACGGCUUCACCGGCACUCUGCCCAGUGUGAUAUCCCCCAACAUCACACGGAUUGAGAUGGGGAACAAUCUGUUCUCCGGUGCCGUGCCGUCAUCCGCACCGGGGCUGAAUGUCUUCAAGGCGGAGAACAACCAAUUCUUCGGCGCGCUACCGGCGAACAUGUCGGGGUUCGCCAACCUCACCGAUCUGAACCUCGCCGGCAACCGGAUAUCUGGCUCGAUUCCACCUUCCAUCCAAUCGUUGAAAAGUCUGAAUUACCUGAACCUUAGCAGCAAUCAGAUAUCCGGCGACAUCCCGGCGGCGAUUGGGUCGCUGGCGGUGCUCAACAUGCUUGAUCUCUCCAACAACAAGCUCUCCGGCGACAUACCACAGGAGUUCAACAACCUCCGUCUCACUUUCCUCAACCUCUCUUCCAACCAACUCACCGGCGAGAUCCCCCAGUCGCUGCAGAGCACUGCAUUCGACAAGGCGUUCCUGGGGAAUCGUGGCCUCUGCGCCACGGCGAGCCUGAACAUGGACAUUCCGGCGUGCCCUUACCACGACCGCAACCAGAUGACAACCGGCCUGAUCAUCUUGUUCUCGGUGGUCGCCGGCGUCCUGCUCAUCGGCGCCGUCGGGUGCUUCGUCAUCCGGCGGAAGACGCGCGAGAGGGACCUGAUGACGUGGAAGGUGACGCCGUUCCGCAAGGUCGACUUCACCGAGAGCGACAUCCUCACCAAGCUCGGCGAGGAGAACGUCAUCGGCAGCGGCGGCUCCGGCAAGGUGUACCGCGUCCCGCUCCGCGGCGGCGCCGUGGUGGCGGUGAAGAAGCUCUGGAGCAGGGGCAAGACCGAGGAGAAGGCUGGCAAGGAGUUCGACUCGGAGGUGAGGAUCCUCGGCGACAUCCGCCACACCAACAUCGUGAGCCUCCUCUGCUACAUCUCGAGCGACGACACCAAGCUGCUGGUGUACGAGUACAUGGAGAACGGCAGCCUCGACCGGUGGCUGCGCCCUGCCGGCGGCGGCGGCGGCGUUGCCAUGGCCCCGGCGCCGCUGGACUGGCCGACGCGGCUGGGAAUCGCGAUCGACGCGGCGAGGGGGCUCAGCUACAUGCACCACGAGUCCGCGCAGCCCAUCAUGCACCGCGACGUCAAGUCCAGCAACAUCCUCCUCGACCCGGGCUUCCGCGCCAAGAUCGCCGACUUCGGGCUCGCCCGGAUCCUCGUCAAGUCCGGCGAGCCCGAGUCCGUGUCCAUCGCGGGCGGCACCUUCGGCUACAUGGCCCCAGGUAAACUAAUGGCAAGAUCGACACCAACUCCUCUGAUCUCAGACAUAAAUGGAGAUUACUAAAUACUGAUACGUGGUCACUCUGCUCUGGUGUGGUUGCAGAGUGUGGACGUGGCGCGAAGGUGAACGAGAAAGUGGACGUGUACAGCUUCGGCGUGGUGCUACUGGAGCUCGUCACUGGCCUGGCGGCGAACGACGGCGCCGCCGAGUGGUGCCUGGUGGAAUGGGCGUGGCGGCGCUACAAGGCGGGGGGACCCCUGCACGACGCCGUGGACGGGGGCAUCCGGGACAGGGCCGUGCACGUGAGGGACGCCGUGGCCGUGUUCUUGCUCGGGGUGAUGUGCACCGGGGAGGACGCGGCGUCCCGGCCGACCAUGAAGCAGGUGCUGCAGCAGCUCAUCCAGUACGACCGCACGGCCAGCGUCGCCGGCGCGUGCCGGGACGCCCGCGACGAUGACGACGACAACGCUGCGCGGGCGCAAUUAGGCAAGGGGAAGAAGGGCGACCGAGGUGUGAAGGGAGCGUUGGAUAGUGGAGGAGAGUUUUGGGAUGGUGAUGUGGAGAUGAGCAGCGGCUUCGUAGCACAUCCCGUUUAAGGCGUCUUUUUUUAAAAAAAACUAAGAAAGGAAAACUAAGCAAGAUGGUCCGUGUAAAUAGUGCGGUUAGACCUUGGCCAAUCAUUACUUAUGGUAAGAAAUGUAAAUAUUGUUUUAUUACAAAUCCACAGCUUUGUCCACACACACACGAAAUGGGUGAAGGACAAGUAUCAGCAGUCAGGGAAACGAAGGACGGUGAAAAGGAAAGUAUGCAAGAUAAAAUACAAACUUAUUAUUACUGUGGCAAGGUAUGCAAAUAAAAUAUUACUGUGGCACAACAAUUUGGCCAUGCUACAAAAUUUCCAUUCUAUAGUAUUCAUCCUUUAAACGAGACAAAAUUUUUUUUUAACGAAGCGGGCACGACACCGUGCCAAAUUCAUUGAUCUAGAAGGAAUCAAACGAGACAAUAGAAAAGGUGACAUUUUACCAUCAAUCUAUGCUGAUGACAUCUUAUGUCAGCAACUUGGACCUGGGUGUUCUGAAAGAUAAACUACAGAAGUUUUGGAAGUAGACGGGGAGACGUACAGCAGGGCAGCGAAAAGAUAAGGUUGAGAGGAGAGAGGAGUGGGCGUAAGUUUGGUCAAAACCAAUAAUGAUAAAAAUUUCGGGUCCGACAAUGCCAUCACCAACGGCUCAUAAUAGCAGCCAGCGGUGAUAAGUAUCACCGCUUAUUUAUCUUUGGAACCGGCGGUGAUACUUGUUUUCACCGCCGGUUCUAACAUCCACUACGCCCAUUCAUCUGCGAACCGAUGGUGAUACUAUAUCAUCACCGGUUCACCUCAAAUUGAUGGUGAUAGGCUAUUUGUGAUGGCUUUGUUCUGUAGCAGUGGAUGAACCACAUUCACCUUAGUUAGGAAAUAGAUCUGAAUCGGCAAGCAGAGGCAGCUUGGGUUCUGCGUGCCUUUUGUGAUGCUACUGCUACCAGAUUAUCAGUUGACCAUCACUUCUAUAAACAAGAAAAUAAUAGGAUUGUGCAUGCUUAAAAUGCUGGAUUUAUUGUGUACCUUCACACCUAGAAAAUAGAAUACACGAGCAAUGAGGUAAGGAAGGAUUACACACCGUGCAUGUACUACUUUUUGUAUCUUAUUAUAUACUAAUUGGAGUCUCCUUUUGAAACCUCCACAUGAAGCCACUUAAGAAUCGUAGGUAGACACUCUAGAAAAAGAGAGAAAUCUUAGAAAUUCUUUCAAAAAUGCAAAACAUCUGACUAUUAAUUCAGUGCUCAAAUCAUCAUAAUUGGAUCUAUUAUUUUUCAAAAAAUUACCUACCUAUGCCAUUAUGAAAAUAGCCUAAAAUAAUCCCCUAAAUUUAUAUCUAAAUUACCCACCUAUGCCAUUAUACAAAAUAAACUAAAGUAACCCCUAACCUUUAUCUAAAUUACCCACUUAUGCCAUUAUAAAAAAUAAUUUAAAAUAACCCUCUAAAUUUGCAUCUAAAUUGCCCACCGCUAAAAUUAUAAAAAAAACUUGAAAUACCCCUUAGAUUAGCUUCUAAUUACCGGCAGAUGCUAUUAUUAAAAUUCAAAACCAAAUCACCUUCAUAAAAAUAUACCCAGAGGUACAUGAAUAUAUAAUUUUAAAUUAUCUAUUUCUUACACUGUUAGUAUGUAAAAUAAUAACUAAUGUAUAUACACAUGAUGUCUCACCAUUUACCAAUAUAUAGAGAAAGUGAUGAUAAUAUAGAUUUGUGUGUUAAGAUAUAGUUUAAACUUAGGAUCCAUUAAAUAAAUUUAACCACGUCCGUGCAAUGAAAAGUGAAAAAAGAUUAUAAAUGUGGAUGGAAACAUUCUGAAAUAAUUACUAACUAAAGUGUAUCACAAUCGGUUGAAGAUAAUAAUUAUAUAUCUAUAUAAGAAUUGUGUUAGAAUAGUUAGCAAAUGAGAGAGAGAGCUCAAGGUAAUAAUUUUGAUUGUUAGCUAUAUGCCCUUAUUUUUUUCAAUUGAAGACUCUAUGGGCUAGGAAAAAAAGAUAAAUACUAGAAAUUCUCACAAAUGUAUGUGUAUCAAUUCUGAAGGCUCUAAUAAUUAUAGCCAUUGAUCUAUAUUUUAUAAAAAAUUACUCACUACUAUUAUUAUGAAAAUAUUCUAAAGUAAACCUCUAAAAUAAUAUCUCAAUCACCCACCUUUGCACUUCAAAAAAAAUAUUUUAAAAUAAUCAUAUAAUCUUCAUCUAAAUUAUCAAUACAUGUCAUUAAAAAUAACUUAAAAUGCCCUUUUAAAUUUGUAUAGAAAUUACCCAUGUAUGUAAUUAUUAAAAAUAACUUAAAGUAGACACCUAAAUUUUAAUCUAAUUAUCUCCAUAUUUAUUAUACAGGAAUGUCCAAAAGUAUACAAAUAUAUGUUCUAAUUACCUAUUGCUGUUGUUUUUAAUAUAGAAAUAUUAAAUUAAGGUAUAUAUGCAUAUUAUGUUAAAAUAAUAAAAUAAAUUUGUGAAUCGUAGAUCAAUAAUUUUGAUUGUUAGAUAGGAUCUAAUUUUUAAAUAAUUCUAACAUAAAGAUUCCUGCACGGGUCGAUGAACUAGUUCAUUCAAUUACGAAUAUUCUACCACAUACAAAAGAAUCAAAAUAAGUGAUCCUUUUUUUGAGAAAAUCAUGUGGGUUAGGGUGUCAAAUCUUGAAAGGUUUGCGAAUUUAGGGUCAAUUUUUGAAAUUUCUCCCCAUGAUCACCCGCCCACAAAACCCUUCCUCGACAAAGAUCAUGUCCUGGGUGGAGGAGUGGAGGUAGAUUACUGUGAGGCAAUGGGAUUGAGAGCAAAAGAAUAAAGAGAGGUGCUGUCUUGGAAUGAUCCCACCAACCGAACAAUGCAGUGUGCACCAUAAAGAGAUCGGAAUAUAGGCAGUGUGCCAUCUUGCGAUUGUAGCAUGGUAGCUCUACAAACAAUUUGAUUCCCUGUAGUGGACAUCACAUACGACGUUGCACUAUGCCUAUAGACCCAGAGGGGCAGGAGGAAGGACGAGAGGGAGAGGGUGCGCGUCGCUGGAGCUGCCGGCGGCGUGGGGAAGGAUAGGAGAGUGGCAGCGAUGACGGGUGUCGCAGCAUCGGAGGAAGGCGGCCGUUCAGAAGAGGGAGGGGAAGAGAGAGAGAGAGAGAGAGAGAGAGAGAGAGAGAGAGAGCGAACCAGAAUGGGUGGGGCCGGUAGGCCAGGGAUGGCGAUGCAACGCAGGCAUUGAGCGGUGGGUGGUUCCUAAAUGUAGUAGCGAAUGGUUUUUUUUUUUUGGCAAAAGCGACACGAAAUCGGAAUUUUCUCUUCUUGGUAUUGAAAUUUUUUUGAGCCCAUGGGGCGUGGCGCAAAGAAAUCAAACGUAUUUACUGUAGCGCAAGGGUCUACGUGGACCAAUCUACGAUUAUAGAAAAGGUGAAGGUUUUUUUUCAAAAUUGUGUGCGCCAGCGGCAGCCUCUGAACCACACGAUCGGCCACUAGCCAGCGGAGGUCUUGAUUUGCUGGAAGACACUGCCUCAAUUAAAAUAUUAUGUUGAACCUGAAGAGGAGAGAGAAACACGUUGAAAUAUCAUUUUUACCCCUGACCCCACAAGUAGGUUCCCCCUCCCCUUCUAUUAUUUCUUCUCCCUCCUUUUUAUCCACUCCGUCCAAAGGAUUGCCAGACCUUGCCCACCUGUGGAGCUCCAGUGGGGCACACCUCAUCGUGCUGGUCGUGGAGCUUGAGUGGGGUAGGGCUUUCUACGCUGGCCAUGGAGCUUGCUCGCACCGGCCAUGGAGCUCGAGGGGGGCGGAGUUCGCGGUGCCGGCCGCAAAGCUCGAGCAGUGCUCCGUUGUCGCAACGGUCGUAGAGCUCAAGUGGAGCGAUGCUCGCCUGCGCUGGCUUUGGAGCUCCAAUGGUCCGAAUUUGCAAGCGGACCUGCAGCCCCAGUGCCGCCACCCCUCCAUUCCCUACAUCAAAGAAGCCGACGAUGGCAUGGAUUGGCUCCGCCCAGCUCACAGCAUGGAUCUGGUAGACCCAUGAUUAGAGGGAGGUGGUGGUGGAUCUGGUGCUGGUGUGCUGUAGCUGUAGCAGGGAAGGGAGCUUCUUGGGGCUGCGGCUUGAAGAUGCAGCGGCAGCUGCUUUGCUUGGUACGGCAGGAAAAGGAAGAAGAAAGAACAGAAGGGGAGGGAGGAAAAAAAGAAAUGGUCUGACUAGUGGGGCCAGGGAAAAAUAGACAUUCCACUACAUUUCUCUCUCCUGCUCAGUCCAAAAAUAUUAUUUUAGUCACGGUGAUGUCUUUCAGCAAAUUGGUACACAACUAGAGUGUCUCCCACCAUAUUAAGUGGUCAAUGGUGUCCUCUAGCAAACUAACAUCAUUUUGCAUGUCUGCCUAUAAUAUUUUGGAGGGGAUUAUCGAAUCUAGAGCUAGAUGGAUGAACACAAGACACAAAAGAUUAACCAGGUUCAUGUUACCAAAUAUGUAUAAUACUCUACAUCUUGUAAUCGGAAUUUGUAUUCUCAGUGUAUAGCGUGUUGAAUAUGGCUUGAAGUUUUCAAGGGCAUAUCUGCCCAUCUUAUAUAGCCGGGAGGCAAGGUUACAAAUCUAUUCCAGAUGUAAUACUAGUUGGUUUUAAAGAAACACAUACGAUCGUAACAUAAGUUAUCUUUUACAUAUUUAAACUAGAUCUAUUUCUAUCCCUAUCUUAUCUUUUUGCACGACAUGCUUGGCUUACUCCGUAUGUUACUGUUUGCCCGUCCGAAAUGGUACCUAGGGAUCAUAUACCCCAUAGGUAUUUUCCACUGGUAUUUUGGACACGAAACGUCUUGUUUUUUUUUGUCAGCCUGCGUAAGUCCUGUACCAGUUCCAACAAUAAUCCACGUUACGUUAUAUUAAUAACCCAUGACAAUAUAUAAGUUUAUUACAUUUUAAGUAAAAUAUUUUUAAUAUAUCUACAUGCAUGGUUUAUUUUUAAGAAACAUAAAUAUUUUAGAUUGGUAUUAUGUUAAUGAAAUGAACAAAAAAGAGCAACAUAGAAAACUUUUCUUUGUCGUGGGCUCUAAAUUAUCCACAAACUUCUAAAUUCUAAUACUUAUGUCUAUUUAAAAUAUUUACGGCUCUUAAAAUUUCUUUCACGUGUAGAAGUUGGACUAAUUAUUUAGUGAAUGACCAACAAAAGAAGCCCUCUCUUAAUUUCUCUCUGAAGUCCUAGAAAUUACCAAGUUAACUAGGAAAAAUACACAUCAUCCGCCAUGGUCUAUAUCUAUUUGAGAAUUUCCUACCAUUGCCAUUAAAAAGUUAAACAAUACAAUACCACUGUACCUAAUAUAAAUUAGCCACCACUAGUCUAUCAACCCGUGCUCCCACACGGACUAAUAUUUUUAAAAAUUAUUGUAUUUGAAAACUAUUUAAAAAUUAAACUCUUAGCUAAUUAUCAAAAUUAUUUACCUACUACUCUCUCAUUCUUUUCAAUACUGCAACAUAAUACUCAUAUAGAUGUGUAUUUACCUUUCUCCAAUUGUGAUUUAUUUUUUAGCAGUAAUUACUCUAUACACUUUUUUAUCCACAUUCACACUUUUUUCAGUUUGUAUUCUACCUCCAUACAUUGUGUUUAGCAUAAAAAUUAAUAUUUUUUAGCAUUUCAACACAUACAUGUAUAAAUGGUAUGGUCUACAUACUACUCAUCAUGCAUAUAUACCUUAACUUAGUAUUUCUAUAUUAAUAAUGAAAUAAAAAGGUAAUUUAGAAUCAUAUAUUAGUUCACUUUUGAACAUUUAUGUAUGAUGCAUAUGAAGAUAAUGAGAUUAAGAUUUAGGUGUUUACUUUAUAUAUUUCUAAUUAAAAAAAUACAUGUGUAACUUAGAUUCAAAUUUAGAAUGAUAUUUUAAGUUAUACUUUCUAAUGAUAUGCAUGCAUAAAUUUGAUGAAAAUUAUAGGGUUACUUUAGAUUAUUUGUUUUAAUGGUAGAGCUCAAUAAUUUAGAUAUAGGUUUAGGAUUUAUUUUAGAAUAUUAUCAUAAUGAUAGUGGUGGCUAAAAGAGACUGUUUUUAUGACUUCCAUGAUAUAGCCGUUCCACCAUGUAAAAAUACAAAGCCUGUUUGAGAUCUGACAUUAUGGGGAUAAGAUAAAUAGCCUGCAUCUGUAUAUCCAAUCAUAGUUUUGUCUUAGCCAAAUUUAUAAAAUAAGCCAAGAUCUAUUGUUCUUUAGAGAUAUCUGAAGAUAUUCUUAACUCCCGCCCAAUGGCAUUUUGUUGGAGCAGCGCUAUGUCUAGCUAGUAAGUUUAUCGCAAAUGCAAUGUCAUGCCUUGUGCAAUUUGCGAUAUACAUUAGCGCUCCAACGACACUGAGGUAUGGAACUUCUGGUCCCAAUAACUCUUCAUCUUUAUCCUUUGAUCUAAAUUGAUCUUUAUCAAUAUCAAGAGAUCGAACGACCAUAGGUGUUUUGGAUGGAUAUGAUUUAUCCAUAUUGAGUUUCUGAAGAAUUUUCUGGAUAUAUGCAGACUGAUGUAUUAAAAUCCCUAUCGGGAGAUGCUAAGUUGUAAGCCUAAGCAAAAUUUGGUUUGAACUAAAUCUUCAUUUCAAAUUCCAUCUUAAGAUGGUUGCGUGCUUCAUUUAUAUCUUGUGUAUUCCCAAUGAUAUUGAGAUCAUCAACAUACAUAGAUAUAAUACAAAAUCUAGUUAAUGAUUUCUUAAUGAAUACACAUGGGCAAUCAUCAUUAUUGGAAAAACCCUUCUGUAGAAGGAAUUCCUUUAGUCGGUUGUACCACAUUCUUCCCGACUGUUUUAAGCUGUAUAAUGACUUUUGAAGUUUUACACCAUACAUGUUGUGAAAAUGAUUCUUGUUCGCAAUAUCAAGUCCUUCAGAAACUUUCAUGUAGAUAUCCGAAUCUAGUGACCCAUAAAGAUAUGCUGUCACUACAUCCAUGAGAUGCAUGGAUAGACCUUUUUGUAUUGCCAAUGAUAUGAGAUAUUGGAAUGUUAUAACACUCAUAACUGGAGAAUAUGUUUCAUCAAAAUCGAUGUCGGGUCUCUGCGUGAACUCUUGUGCUACAAGCCUCGCUUUGUAUCUCACCACCUUGUUGUUUUCAUUCCUUUUACGAACGAAAAUCCAUUUUGAUCCCAUAGGAAAAUAUGAUGAGGAGUAGGUAUCACUGCGGAGAAUACCUCUCAUUUUUUGUGCGAGCGCAAUUCUGCCUCAAUUGCUUCCUUCUAUUUGAUCCAGUCUGAGCGCUUGAUGCACUCUAUCAUGGACUUAGGUUCUGGAUCAGGUUGAAGGUCACUUACAAUCUUGGAGGCAAAACAAAUAUUGACAUUUGUAGUCUUUCUAUUGAAUGAUUCUCAAGAAUCAAUAUAGUUGAUGGAAAUUUCAUUUACCCCUUGUUACUCAUCAUGAUUUCCCAUAAUAAUAGAGUUAGGAUCUUCCGAUGUCCUAGCACUUACAUUAUUGUGUGCACUUGUGCUGCGUAUGUGAUGUAUCUAUUGAACAUCCACAUUAUUUGGAUUUACAAUAUCCAAUUGGUGUCUAUCAACUUGAUGUUGAUUUGCAUCUACCGCUUUGGAAGUAACCUUCCUUGGUUUCUGUGGAGCCUUUUGUACAGUCUUAUCCUUUGUAACAGUAUCUCUCCCCCUCUUAUUUUGAUUUGGGAGAUCGUGAGUAGGAAUUGCUACUCUUUGUAGUGAAUUAACAACAGGAUUAUAUGAGUUUGUGAUAGUCGGUAAAUGCCUCUGGCAGAUUAUUUGCAAUUUUUUGCAAAUGAAUAAUCUUUUGAACUUCAUGUUCAGAUUCAAAAGUACGUGGAUAAAAGGACUGAAUACCAGUGGCAUUCCAAUUUAUUUCCUGGCAUUUUGUUUGGUACAUAGUGUCUCCCCCUAAGGCCCGGAAAUUGUCCUCAUCGAAGAUGCAAAUAGCAUGCCAGGCUGUGAAUAUGUCCCCUGUAAGGGACUCAAGGUGUCCGUGUUUAGAUCCGGUAACCUACCGAGGGGGUACCCGAGGUAGUAUUUUAUGCGUGGGGCUCGCCGAAGAUCAGGAACUCGAAGGUGAACUCGAACACACAAUUUAGAGAGGUUCGAGCCGCUUAUGUCGCGUAAUACCCUACAUCUCAUAUGUUGGUUGGAUUGUAUUGAUGGAUGAUUGUUUGGAUGGGGUCCAUACCUCGUCUUAUAUUGCCGGUGCUAGGACUUUAGGUCGGUUGUUGUACAAGAGUACUAGACGGAUUCUACUAUAUGUUGGUUGGAUUGUAUUGAUUGAUGAUUGUUUGGAUGGGGUCCAUACCUUGCCUUAUAUUGACGGUGCUAGGACUACAGGUCGGUUGUUGUACAAGAGUACUAGACGGAUUCUACUAGAAAGUCCUACUCUAAUUGCUACUAGUAGUUUCCUAAUCCUUGCCUAGUCCUUGUCCUCCAUGUAGACCAUGUUGUCAUGCACCGCAGUCUCCAUGUCUCAUACAUCUUAGUAUACAACCCCAUAUUGUAGGACUAUCCAAGCCUCCUAGUGGGCCCAUAGAUGUACGGCCGAUAAGCCCCCGAGUACUUUUUAGUCAAAUGCAGCAAUCCCGAAUACUUCUGCAAAUAUUGUCGACUAGUUUGUGGUGUUCCUUGUGAGUACUCGAUCGGAUUGAGUCUUCGAAUGUGUUCGAGUACUGCCAUGCGGCUAGAAGUUACUCAAGCCUCAUUUAACUUAGUCUUUAAUCUUCAAAUUUGAUCUUUAUAUGAAAGUGCGAUAAAAAUUGCACUCCAUAUGGAGUAGUGUUGGGAUAUGAGGUAGGCUACACUAGCGCAAAUCAAAAAUUUUCUACCGCGUAAACCAGGAAAACUGCCGUAUAAGGAUCACAGGAUUACCACUUGACGCACUAAUGCGGAAGAUGUAGAUUCGCGUCAAUGCAACGAAGUCGAUCAGUGUAGUCGUAUGUAGUCGAUCACGUCGACGUCCAGCAGCUCCUCAGCAGCUCGUCCACAUGCAGCAAGAUUGCCCUCGUGCCGCGGCUCGUCGUCGGCUCGUUGUGGCUCGUCAGCGGCUCGUCGUGGCUCGUCCAAGUGCUGCAGGCGCAACACCUCCAAGGUAUCCACACGUGUAGGGAGGAAGCGUCGCAAGCCGGACUGCUAGGUCUGCGAGUUGCAACAGGCAAGGGCAUGGGAGGCGCGACAGAUGUGUUUCGCCAAAAGGAUGUAAACCCUAGGGUGCCCCCACCCCUCUAUUUAUAGAGGUUCCUAAUGGGCCUCUACGUCCGAGGCCCAUUAGUACUUCUAAACCUAAUCCAACUCGGAUCACAUCCGAAUUGGGCUUCCAGCCCUUUAAGUGUGUGACCCUAUGGGUUCGGAUACGUAUAGACAUGGCCCGAGUACUCCUACUCGGCCCAAUAGUCGGUAGCGGCCUCUAGCAAGACGUGCCAACUCCUAUACGCACACGAAGGUCAUAUCAGACGAACCAUCACAACUUUAUAUACAUGCUAUUCCCUUUGCCUCACGAUAUUUGGUCUAGCUUCAAGCUGACCGCUCUUUCUCGAUCCUAUGAUUCGGAAUCCCUUUGUAGGUUAACUCUUAACCGUAUGUUGCAUGGCUAUGCAUUUUCGGAUCCGAUCACUCGAGGGGCCCAGAGAUAUCACUCUCAAUCAGAGAGGGGCAAAUCCCAUCUUGAUUGACCAUGUCUCAUAGCAUGCUUCUUGACAAACCCGAAAGCUACCUUUAUAACUACCCUGUUAUGGCGUAGCGUUUGAUAGCCCCUAAGUAAGUCGAUCCACAUCUUGAGUACAUGCGACAAUCUCAGGUCUAAGGACAAAGCGUACAUGUUGUGUAAAGAGAGAACUACUUCUCGUGUUGGGUCAGUCCUAGCGCAUGUCUCCACAUGUGCCCACAUUAUUAGUUCAACAUCUCCAUGUCCAUGACUCGUGAAAUAUAGUCAUCAACUAAUACAUGUGAUAGUCUAAUAUUCAUGUGUGUCCUCAUAUGAACUCCGACUAGGGACGACUUUAGAAUAACCAUACAAGUAAAGAGUUUCACAUACAAUUCACAUAAUUGCAAAUCAAUGCAAGUAGCCUUUAAUGGAUAUUCAAGGAACACAAUAUAAAUCAUGGAUACAAAUGGAAUAUCAUCAUCUCUAUGAUUGCCUCUAGGGCAUACCUCCAACAAGUAGCCCCCGAGCCUUAGUUUGAAUUGAAGAAUCAGGCUGAGGGUCAAUCUUGUAAUUUCACACCUUUUUCCCUUAAAACUCAAGAGAAAAAAUAUUUUGUCCAACAAGAACGUGGUACACAACCCCCAAGCCGUUACACGACUAGUUUGGGUAUAACGGCCAACCACUGGUCCAAUGUGACUGUUCACCUUCAGAAAUCUUAUCUCUUCUAAAAAAAUUGGUAAUCGUUCUGGUGAUAACUGAUGGCUAAAAAGAAGGAGGUCCAGCUGCAGGCACCCAAGUACGGGAAGACUGACCAGACAGCGCCACUGAAUCAAGUCUGUGCCUGGAAAAGAUCCAUCUUGAAAGAGGCAGAUGUCCAGGUACUAGUGAAUGCAAAUCUGCUCCAGGAGAAAGAGUUCACCGAUUAGAGGGAAGCAGCCAGCAAUGCGUUGCCACUGGAGAGUUACCUGGAUGAGACAGUCAUCUUCGCGCACUUCGUUGAGCGUGGGCUGGCUUUGCCAUCGUCCAACUUCUUCAGGGGUCUGUUGAGGUACUACAAUCUGGAGCUUGUCCACCUCAACCCCAAUUCUAUCUUGCACUUUGCUAUCUUCGUGCACCUCUGCGAGGCCUUUCUGGGCAUUCAGCCCCACUUCCAGCUGUUCAGAAUGUUCUUCAGAGUGAAGCCCCAACCCUGGAUGGACCACAUAGAAGUAGUCAAAGGGGUGGGGAUCCAGCUUCGAGAGGAGUACGAGAGCCAGUACAUCGAGUACGAACUUAUAGACUCCCAUUCUGGUUGGAAGCAAUGGUGGUUCUACAUUGGAAAUCAUGAGCCCCAUCUUCCCAAGAUUACUGGCCACCGUCCAGUGUGGAACAAUCACUGGCUGGAUGAGCCAAGUACUGCUAAUGGCUUUUAACUGCUGGAAUUGAUUACCAAGAUCGCCCGCCUCAAGGAAGAUGGCCUGACUGGCGUCGGUGUAGCCUUCAGCUUCAUGAGGAGGUGUGUCUAGCCCCUGCAGUUGCGUUGCACGACAGGGUACGACUACUCGGGUCCCAAUGACCCAUCGCGGAUGACGUCGGAGGAGCUAUCCCCUGAUGAUGUGAUGGUGCGUCUGAAGCGCUUCUUCAAACGCGUCAAGGCUAUCCCGGCGAUCUUACGAGAGCACUGCACCGCUAACCCGUCAAUCUUGUAAGUACCCAUGGCCUGCAGCCCCCGAGUACUAGUGUUGAUGUUUUGUCAAAUUGCUGACUAGUCUUCUUGGUUGCAGGAUGAACUUAGCUUGUAUGUCUCGAACCCUCCUCCGCCUGGUGCUGACGUCACGCCCCGUAUGCAGUCCCUCGAGGCUGUGCAGAGGGCACUCGAGGAGGAGGAUGAGAAGCAGAAAGAGAGGGAGGAUUCACCAGAUUGGUCCUCCUUCAGUAGCUCUAACUCAAAGUCUGCUGAAAAAUAUGUUGUCAAACCACAGCUUUCUGACAAUGCAGAGUGAUCAUCUGGGAUGUCCAAGCGUGCAGCCAAGGAUGUCUAGGAAGUUGAAGUGGCGCCACCCCCGAAGGCGCGUACUGCUGCCGCCAAACGUGUGGUGAGGAAAGUGUUGGCUGAUGAAGUCCCACCUCCAGUAAAUUUGUUUGACAAGAUCUUGAGUAUCGAGUACUCCUGAUAUGUUUGCUUUAUCACCAGAAUUUGACUCCGACAUUGCUGAUGUAUAAGUAGUCAAGGUGGAAACAGAGACGGAAGAACCGACUAUUGUAGUCGUGCAGCAAAGGCUGCCGACUAUAGAAGAAGUCCCAACGCCGAGUACUCAAUGUGAGGAGAUAGCGACUAAGGCUGGCAGGGAUCCAACUGUGAUCCGGCAAGCCACGCCAAAGAAGUCAUCACCUACCGUUAAGGUACUAUUCCUGGGAACUGGGCCCUCCAUCAAAAUAAAGAGGUCCACUCAGUAAGUAUCCGUGUACCAAUGUUAACUUGAUGUUGCCGAGUAGUGUGUUAUAACACUUGUGUUUGUUGCAGGAGAUCCGACAGUGUGGAAGCUGAGGGCCCGAGUACAAAGUCUGGUGCUGAUGGCAGUAGCCACUCAGCCUCGGAGCUCGCCUUGGAGCCUGCCGUUCCACCACUGAAGGAGCAGCCCGCACCCUAUGUGGCUCCAAGUGCGGUGUCUCUUGUAGCAACACUUACACACGAUAUAUUGUCAUCAUUUGACGUCUCUGUAGUGCCAGCCCCUAGCUGCCGGAGGCUGAACCCGUCGUGGAGAGUAUUUCCAUGGUGGUGACGGAGUUGGUGGGCCAGAUGCUAAACUCGGAGGUCGAACCGGAGCCAGAGGCUGAGGUUGAGGCAGAGGCUGAGGUGGUAAUAUGCAAUGUAGCCCCCGAGCUAGAAGCUGACGUGGAGGCUGCUGGGAAUCUGAGUAGUAGUCGAGGUCCUCAACUGGGACUGUUAAUCACAUCUACUCCACAUGUAGCACCCGAACCAAAGAUAUAUCAAAGAAAAAUAAGUGUUAGAAAGUGGAAAAGUGAAAGUGAUGUAAUGGAAUGGUUCAUUGAUUUAAGGGUACUGCUACACACAUAUACAAGCUCAAAGGGCAUGAAGGUGUUCAUUCGGGAAGGACAUGCCCCUUCCCCAAUGGCCCCUUCGGUAACUUAUCAUUAGUAGUUGCUAAUAAUAUCAUUAACUAAUAAUUAAGUAAUUAGAGUAAUUGAUCACUAAUAACUGUGUUUCACAGCAAUAAGAAGUGCAUGCAAUAAUAAUAAGUGCAUGCAAAGUAGAAUCUAUCUGAAUAAAGCAAGAUAAUAAUAAUAGAAGACCAAAAAAGUGAAAAACAUUUUUGUCUGGUAGACACACAAGGAUUCGAAUUAUGACUACCAAGGAGCUGUGUAAUGGUAACAGAAAGAAGGCUGACCCGGUAAGCAAUGUACUUAUUAUUGAGGAGCCGCACCAGUCGCCUUUGAUUCAAUGAAUUCACCACUGUCGAUUUAAUUUGAGACUUAAUAUUUUAUAACCGGAGGUUAUCGAAAUAUCAAAGCACAACUCAAAUCUGAACAGUAGGACAUGCAAUUCAUUUGAAGCAAAAGUAAUCGAUCCUGGUAUUCCUCUUAUAUGUAUCUCAAAGAUUACCCAAGAUCACUUGCAUAUUGGUUCUAGGCAUCGACAUCACCACAUUGCAUAUAAACACAUAAAAGAGUUGUAAAGGUAGCACCUAAAACUAUUACAAAACUUGAUGAAUAAACUUGAAAUAUAUAUGCGAGAAUACAAAAUUACAUGUAUGAAUGGUUGACGUUCACAUCAUCUAAACAAGUUAACAACUUAUGAAACAAGUUUGAAAGUCAGCUGGUAAUGCCUUUGCCAAAGGCAUGACCAAAUGAUAUUAUAUCAUAACAUAAUCCAUUAGGACCUGCAAAACAACAACAAAGGAAUGGUGAGUAGAGAGGUACUCGCAAGACAUACUCCAAUGUGGGUAUAUAUUCAGCUUGACGCCAUGGAUACAGGGCAGUGCGAAUCAUUAUAUUCGUCAGAGUUUUUCACACGCGAAAUCACGCCGGGGGACUCGGCGGCGCUCAUGGUCGAUCGACAGGACGGUGCUGCAUAUAUACCCUGCUUGCUGCUUUCUGCUGGAAAGAGGUGACAUAUAUAUGUAAAGCACACAAAAAUUAGAUGGAACAGAAUCCAAAACGUUUGGAGAAAGGCGAACACAGUAGAUCAGGCCAUGAUCUCUGUUCUUGUGAGCAGCAUCUGGCUAGCAAAAAAUAAAGCGAAAUUUUCUUCAUUGACUAGCCCUGCCUCAUACUACCAGUCUUGGUCAUCAGUGCGGACGAUGAUAAUUGAUACUCUUAUCAGCUAUUGAUGAUCUGGGCCCCAAAUCGGAUCUAGAAGCAUAAAUUAGUGCUUGAUAACGAAUUUUUCAAUCAGAGCACCUUUGACUCAUAAUUUAGUGGUGACUCAUGCGCAAAGACUUUGACUAAUGGGUCGUUAAUCCUUGUCCCAUUCAUCGCAUGCCAAGAGCCAACUGGCCACAUCUUCCAAGAGUCUACAUGUUGAGGAACCACACCAUAUCCGAGCCUCAAGCUCACACACACUAACACUAGCACUGACAGAAAUGGUUCACUCCUAUCUCCUCCUCCUCCUAGUGUUCCUCUUUUUCUUCUCCAGCUCGCCAUCCAUGGCGCAGAUCAACUCCAGCGACUAUGAGACACUCCUAACUGUCAAGAAAGCCUGGGGCAGCCCUUCUGCUCUCAGCUGAUGGACUUCCCAGAACUCUUCCUACUGCAGCUGGGCAGGGGUAAGCUGCAACAAUGGCCGAGUGACCAAGCUCUCCUUUCCAAAUUUCAACAUAACCAAUCCGAUCCCAGCUUCCAUUUGUAGCCUCAAGAACCUGUCCUACCUAGACCUUUCCUACAACAACCUCACCGACCACUUCCCGACGGUGCUCUAUGGCUGCUCGGCUCUGAGCUACCUAGACCUGUCCAACAAUCUCUUCUCCGGUGCCCUCCCGGCCGACAUCGAUAAAUUGUCGUCGGAGAUGGAGCACCUCAACUUGUCGUCCAAUGGCUUCACAGGAAGCGUGCCAUCAGCAAUUGCUGUCUUCCCCAAGCUCAAGUCCCUUGCUCUUGACACUAAUAGCUUCAACGGGACAUACCCGGCCUCGGCCGUUGC